CAUGCCUGAGUUUUCAAACCUGUUCAAAACUCAGUGGAUGUAGGGUCAUAUGUUCUAGGUGGUAAUGUGCUGUUGUUAAGCUAAACUGUCAUUGCACCAAACUGCAUGUUAAAUAUUUAUGUUUGUACUCCACAGACAAUUGGUACUCCCAUCUUGAAUCAAAGAAGCUUCUUUUUGCAACAAACUGGUAAAAAGCAGAGAAUCGUGGCUGCUUAAGGUGUUGAGAGAAGGCCUGUCUGGAGCUCUGGAUGUGUCCUCUGAGAAGUUGCCCAUGAGACCAAGUGCCCUGGAGGGUAACACGGAUCCUGAGUGAAGAUUGUCACAACCGAGUAUGGAUGUGCUGAUCUCCAGGCUCCUGGAUGUGGAGCUGUUCAUCUCUCCUCCAGAGCUGGAUGGAGGCCCAGGCUGCCUUGCAGCACUGAGUGAUGCCAUGCCAAUUCCAGGCAAGGUCUUUAUUGCUGGAGCCACUGUAUAAUGACAGCUUUAUUCAUGUGAAAACGCAGAAUGCAUUUCGACUGUAUGAAAUUGUUUAUGUUCAUCAGAAAUGUUAUUUGUCUUCACAAAGUCUGGUUUCAAUGAACCAGCUACGUAAUGGAUAUUAAAUAAACAUGGAAUUUUACAUGUUUAUAAUA